AUACAGCAGAUGAGUCUGAAAUAGGACGAAACGCGCAUCCUGGAU
rnacentral:hammerhead_ribozyme from 1 species